rfam:Schistosoma mattheei strain Denwood, Zambia genome assembly, scaffold: SMTD_scaffold0017722
GUCCAGCCGACGAGUUCCAAAUGGGACGAAACGCGCGAACUGGAU